AAGUCGUAACAAGGUUUCCGUAGGUGAACCUGCGGAAGGAUCAUUAACAAGUCUGCUGUCCGUUCUUGUGCUGUCGUGGGGGGUUGUGCCUUCUGCGUCGUGUGCAAGGACGACAUUUGUUCCAUGCUGCACGUUUACUCUGCACAUGACAUUCUCUACGAGUCAUCUGAUUAUUGACACUUGUCCACAAACAAAUAACUUUUAACAAUGGAUCUCUAGGCUCCU
rnacentral:misc_RNA from 1 species